CCACCGUGAGUACUACAGCUGCAAGAAAAUGAAUUCUGCCAAUCAUAUCAACUUGGAAGAGGAUCCUGAGUCUCAGAUUGCGAUGCAGCCCUAACCAACACCUGAAUCACUGUCGUGGAAGAUUCUAAGCAGAGGACCCAGUUAAGCCAGGCUCAGACUCAAGACCCCCUGGAAACUGUGAGAUAAAGCUGCUAUAUUUGUGUAGAAUUUGGCCCCCUGCUUCCGUCCAUGCAUUCCAUCCUCACAACAUCAGAGUGGAGUAAUGGGAAGAAUGAUUGGUCUCAUUUUGUAGAUAACUGACUCUUGAGAUUAAAAGGACAGAAAAACAAAGAAAAAUUAAGGGAAAAAUAGAAGUAGGCAUAUUACGGACCAGGAUGCAAGAUGAGAAGACCAACAU